rnacentral:tRNA from 2 species
GGCGUAGCUCAAUUGGCAGAGCAGCUGAUUUGUAAUCAGCAGGUUGCGGGUUCAAGUCCCAUCGCCG